UCCCUGGUGGCUCAGAUGGUAGAGAAUCUGCCCGCAAUGUAGGAGACGCAGGGUUCAAUCCCUGUUUUGGGAA
rnacentral:tRNA from 1 species